UUACAAUUGGUUAGUUAAAAAGAAAGCCAUAUUUCUGACAUAGAAAUUUAGAAAACGGGUUCAACUUGACCCAAAGACGACGCAAGGGUU